rnacentral:lncRNA from 1 species
GUCCUUGAUCAUCUCAACGGAUGCAGAGAAAACAUUUGACAAGAUUCAGCAUCCAUUUAUGAUAAAAAAAAAUUCUGAAUAAAAUGGGUACAGAAGGAAGUACCUCAACAUAAUAAAGACCAUAUAUGACAAACCCACAGCUAACAUCAUACCCAAUGGUGAAAACUGAAAGAUAUCCUUUUAAGAAAAGGAACAAGACAAGGAUGCCCACUCUCACCACUUUUAUUCUUUUUUAUUGCGAUAACAUUGGUUUAUAACAUUGUAUAGGUUUCAGGUGUACAACAUAAUAAUUUCACAUCUGUAUAUACUACAGCGUGCUCACCACCAAAAGUGUAGUUUCCAUUCAUCACCAUAUAAUUGACCCCCUUUGCCCAUUUUGCCCCCACAUCCUUCCCCUCUGAUAAUCACUAAUCUGUUGUCUGCUUCUAAGAGUUUGUUUUUGUGUCGUUUGUUUUGUUUUGGUUAAUCAGCUGUGGGCUAAUAUAGACAAAUUUUUCAUAGCUAAAUUGCGAAGAUACUAUGCUGUAUCUAAUGAGAUAAUACAGAGUUCAGGAAGCUAUACUUUAAUUUAAAUUGAGUGGUCAGGGAAGGCAAAGAUAUUUGUUAAAAGAUAAACUGAGGCACAUUAACAUUUUUUAGUUUAUUUGAGCAAAAAUUGAUUUGAAUCAAGCAUCAUCUAAUUUAGACUGGAUUGCAAUAUCUUCAAGAGUUAAGGAGAGCUCCCUGAACAUAGCCUCAUUUGCACUUACUCCUAGCCAGGGGAGUAGAGAUCUGCUGAAGGAAGUGAACUUUUUAAAUCAUGGAUGCCUCCUGGCAAUUCCAAUUUUUGUCUGUGGCUCAGGACUAGAAAGUUGACAGCCAUGGAGGUGAGUAAAACUUAAGGGACUGUAGACUGCAUGGGUGAGAAAGGAGUGAGAUUGUCCCGAGAAAUGGAGGCAUUGGAGAUCAGGGAGAAGUUUGUGAGGGCAGGGUCAACACCACUGUGGCAAAUCCAACAGCCAUGUUGAGGUGGGAGUACCCUCCUCUGCAGUGGCCUGAGAUGUGUGAACAAUGAUAUUAUUUUUCCAGGCCAGAGCAAGACAAAACGUGAACAACCGCAACAACAAAAAUAAAGACAUUCAUGGUGUAAAAAUUAGGAAAAGGAAGGUCAGAGAGGGGAGGAGGACUGGAAAGAGACGUUCUCGAUCUGACAUCUUGGGAGGAAGCAUCUACCUCGAUGCUGGCCACUGCUCUUCCUGCUCAAUUUGAUUUCGAUGUCUCCAGCAUUUGCACAGGACCAGAUGUCAGGUGGAGCUUUCUUCGGUUGUGAAAUGUGCACCCAAGUUUUGACACUUUGUAAUUUGGCAGCAGAGUCAUGGUCCAAGAGUACUUGGUAGGGUCCUUUCCAUGAAUCUUCCUUUUGCAAAAGCAUUAGAGUAAAAUAAUAUCUGUUUGGAAAUGACAAAAGACUUAAAAAUCCCCAUGGUUAAAGAUCUGAUCAGAGUUCAUUAUAAUGGAAUUCACAAGGAAAUUUUGUUAUGUCUGUGACCUACGACAUUUUAAGACAAUUAGUGGAAUUACAACUGAUAACAUUAUACCAGGACAUAUCAGAUUUUUAGGAAUUUCAUAUGGCUUCUAGAACACAUAUUAAUAACGUGUCAUACGAAUAUAAUCUAAGAGUGUUUAUCAUCAGUUAUUUGACAAUGCUUCUGCUGUAAUUUAACAUACCAAUAAGCCUAUUAGUUUAAUAUCUCUCUUUUACAAAGUGAAAGACAAAGCUUUUGAGAUUUUUCCAGGGGCCAUCUGAGAAAUUUCAAAGUUAUGUUGCAUUCAAAAAGAUUCCACUUAGAGUCUGAUUUGGGGAAGUUGUCAAAACAUCUAAAAGUUUGAACCAUUGACUUGGGAUCACAAACCAUUAUGAAAUAACACUUCAUUAUCCAUUUAACCAAAGUGACAAUAGAAAAGUUUAAAGUCUAAUACAGAAGGUUACAUAGUUGUAAACAAAACUUAGCUUUUUUAAUAUUGAGAAGAUUGGGUUUUCUUAAGUAAUCAAAAACCUAAUAAAGACAAUGUGAAGCAUAGUAAAUCAUUUUGGUAAGACACAAAAUCUUUGCUUUCAAGCUUUCCAGUUAGAUUUAACCAAAAGGUAAAACAAACAAACAAACAAACAAAACCCAAAAAACAAAAAUUUUCACAACCUCUUAUCAAGGGCAGACCAUAGUCUAAGAAAACUUUGUUCUCUUAACAGAGUGAAACCAAAUUCUAGUUUUGCACCAGUGCACUUUUGAUAUUAAAAUUCAUUGUUAAAAAACUUAAAUAAAUCCAUGCCGAACACAUAAAAUUUCUUUCCCAAGAUUCCUUUUCUACAAACCUAUAGCUUUUGAUAUCCAUUCAGAUUUUAUCCUAUGCUGUUUCCUCUUUCUCGUUCUGGAACAAUCAGUCAUUUUGCUUUCCUUACCUACUUUUCAUAUGCAUUGUUUUCUUCCACUCUUGUUAUUUCUAAAUAGUUUUAAUUAAACGUAUUUAUUAGAAUUCUUAGCCCUUAGAAUCCUUUAUUCCUAGUGAUAACUAAGAAGUAAGCAAUUGUGGACUAUUACACAAGCAUUCUGUGAGUUGGCAAAUUUGUAAACACAUUUCAUAAUUUCUGGAAGUUUAUCUUCCUCACAAUGAAUUUUUCAAUGUGGCACAAAACAUUGUGACACAUUCCUUGCUAAUAGACCACAAUAUCUUUAGUUACUUUGUAAAAGGAAGCCAAAAGUGGAUAAACCUAUGUUCAGUAAUUAAUGUUUCAGUAUUUUAUUUCAUUUGGAAAUGAUCUAGACGUUCAAUUAAUACCCAUUAUUUAACAUAUUUCAGUAUAACUUUAAGGUUUCAAGUUACCAAAAAAGAUUUUGGAAACUAUUUUUAAAUAGAUAUACUAUAAAGAAUAAUUAUUGUUGAAAAGUUCACUUAUAAACUUUUAUCUUAUUACAUUUAUUUAAUUCGUUUGCUUCUUAAAAAUUAUGCUUAGAUUAGUCAUUAAAACUUCACAAGAUAUUACACAGCUAAUCAUCAUCUUAAGUUAUCUUUCUUGCUGACAAAUUCUGUAACAGAGAGAACAUGAGCUUAUUUGACUUUUGCUAAACCUAGGUAGAAUAAAAGUUUUAUAUUUAAUGCUGAUAACUCUCAAGACAUGCCUGUUUUAAUUAAACCAAAAAACUUAAACUAGCUUUUAUUUACUGAAGAUUAUUCUAGAUCACAUGAACUUGAAAAACAUUUGGGUUAGUUUCUAUAUUUUUGAGAGUACACUUGAUUUAUAUAAACUCUUGUUUGCCUUUAAGCCAAUUAAAUAGAGCUCUUUACAAAUUAAUUUUGGCAAUACCGAUGCGGGGUUGGUGAGCCGAGGAGUCGAAAGAAAGAUUUCUUGGACUCUCAAGGUCUGGCAGUAGUGUUCUUUUAUUUAGAGAAUAGUGUGGAAUAGCAUGGGGACAGGAUCCAUGGGCAGUCAGAGCUGCUGUGUGGGGACAGGACCCAUGGGCAAGAGGAGCUGCUGCUGCCACUUCUGCUACAAACAUGGGUGGAGAGUAAGGCUAAAUUUAAGGCAUAGGUAUGUGAGCCAUCUCUUUACAAGACAAAGGAAAGAACAUGAAAAAAAGUUAAAAUGUUAUCAGUGCAGGUGGGGUCUGGCCAUUGGGUGGUCCCACAACUUUUAGAUAAGAAUCAAAUCGGAUUCAGUAAAGGCCAGAAGCCACCACCCUAAAUCAGUUACAUGAGGUUGCCAAACAGUAACCAACUUAAGUCCUUGCCUUCCCCAUUAAGAGUUCCCAGAGAUAAGGCCAUCCUGCCUUCUUCCUGACACAGAGAGGAGGCAUCUUUACAGAUGGAGGUUUCCCUUACAAAUGUAAAUGUUUCCCAACAAAGGGCAAGCAAACUCCUCUCCUGCUCCUCGGAGCCUGCUUCUCAUCUGCAGUUUUAAAAUUAACCAGCCUAAAACCCUCAUUAAUACCAUCUGGAGGUAGAAAAAAAUACAGAUUUAUAACAUACAUACAUAGACAAACAUAAACACGCAAACAGAUCAAACAAAGAUCUCCUAGCUUUUAUUUUAAAAUUUUAGCUGAGAGACAGGUAUGGUAAUGCAAGACUCACUAGUUUAUAAAAAAUCAGUUUCAUCCAAGUUGUGUUUCAGGCAGAGGGAGUAAAUUACCUGCUCAGAUGGCUAAAGCUUUUUACUAUUAUUUGUGGAAGAGAUUUUCAAUAAGCCUAGUUUUCAAAAUUGCCUUUUCUUUUUCUUUCUUCUGAUAUGAAUGACCUUGGUUCCUAGAGAAGACCAGGUAGAAUAUUUACAUUUCAAAAGGCACAGAGAAAGAAUACAAGUUCCCCUUAGAAGGACUUUUGUUUCUGAAGCCCAGAUCCUUUAGAAUAUCUGCAAGCCUUCUGAGAUGAAUAUCGGAGGUUUUGGAUUGGUAAAAAAGAUAGAUGGGCUUUGAAUUGUUUCUAGAUCCACAUUUCUGUUCUUGUAAAGACUCAAUUUGUAAGACAACUAUGGUUAUUUUUAAUUUCUCAGAGAAUGGGAUUGCAACCAGAUUAAUAUCAAGGAGGGACCCCAUCUACCAAGCACAUUAUCCUCAGUUUGCUUCUUUAUAUCAGGGAGAAGAUCAUCAACUAAGAUGGAAAACAAAAGAUCCCUAUGUUCUAGAGUUAGAGCUGUGUGUCUUUGGAAUAUUUUAGUAAAUUCUUCCACAAAGACUUCAGAAUGUUCUUCUUUCCCUCUGGGUAUAUAGUUUCAUUCUAGCUUAGGGGAGAAGGCCUAAAAAAAUUGUUUUCUAUCAGGCUCUAAAUAUCAGCUUCUUAUUGGGCCAACUUUUGACCAUAGAGAUACUUAAAAAAAUCCUUUUGAAUAUCUUGUCAGAUUUCAGCCAGGGCAAAUAGUAAAUAUUCCUGGCAGUACUGAACAACUCCGUGGACACAAGAGGUGUCCUCAAAGAGGAAAAAAAGAUACUACCUUCUCAGGAUCCAGAGCCACUCUCCAAGAUAAAUCAAAGCAAGAAAGAAAUAAUUCCCCUGAGAGCUGGCAACAGUGGGUAGAAUCCCAGCUGCAAGUGGAGUGCAACCCACAUUUCUGUCCAGCCAUGUCCAGCUGCAGAUGGGGUGCAACCCACAUUUCUGUCCAGCCAUAUCUAGCUGCAGAUGGGGUGCAACCCGUAUUUCUGUCCAGCCAUAUCUAGCUGCAGAUGGAGUGCAACCUACAUUUCUGUCUUGCCUUAUUGUAGGGGUCCACAACCCGAUGAUUGCCAGGCCAGUUUCUCUGGCCACUAAAGGAGACAAACAAUAAGGCAAUAGUUAUCCCUAGGAGGGAAAGGAUCAACAACCAAUGGGUACCUGAAAGCAGAUUCAUACUUUCAGUCAAGAUCUUAUUCUUACAAAUGUUUUGUCCUGCCAAUCUGAGUUUGGAAUAGAAGCAAUAAUGUGAAAUUUUACCUUCCUCUCUCAACCAGGCACCACAGAUAGAGAUCUGGAGGGUGACUUUGGUAAGAAUUCUCACCCUUUGGCAGCUUCUACCAGUUUUCCUGGAUCCUGUCUGCAGGCUCUGGAGCGAGUGGGGUGUCCCAGCAGGCCUCAUCCUGGUACCAGACACAGUAGAGGAGGAAAAAUAAUUUUCCCUCUUCGUGUUUUGUGUUUGGCUGAGACCCCUUUUUCACCAGGGCAUCUUCUAAAUGGAUAAUCUUAGCUAGGUUAAAAGUUCUCCACCAUGGCCACUAUAAUUCAAGACUGUCUUUGGUAAGGUUAACUUACUUGCCCAUCCUUGAAAGAAAAUUUUAUCCACUAAAGGCCUCACACUGGACCCAGUCCAGCUUAAGUCACGUCCAGUCCAGACCCAGACCCAGCCCAGGUUUUUUUUUUUUUUAGAUUUUAUUUUCCCUUUUCUUCCCAAAGCCCCCCGGUACAUACUUGUAUACCUUCAGCUGCGGGUCCCUCCAGCUGUGGCAUGUGGGACGCCGCCUCAGCAUGGCCCUACCAGCAGUGCCACCGCCGUGCCCAGGAUCAGAACC